CCAAUCUCUCUCUCUAGGACGUCCUUCAAAAUGAACGAUCAAGAAUCUGGUUCAAUUGGGUAUGACAAGAAAGGCUUGUUGAAGGCUUGAAGCCACUCUGCGGAGAGAGAGAUUGGCAAAUUGGUCGGAACGAUAGUGGCAGCUCUACUUCUUCAAAUCUCAGUUCCAAGUUGAGAUUCAAUUCUCCUUUUCACGAUCACGUGCCUGUCAUGAGCCCUGAAGCUGUAAAGAAAAGUCGUUUGGUACUUUUCAAGGGAAGUUCCUUCUUAGAUUGGAUGCUCCCGAAAUGAAGUCAGACAAAAAGACGAGAGGAAAAUGGAACAAUUAUUGCAAAAGAUCUCCAUAGGCAACAUACAACUACGACAAAGGAAACAUAAUCACUGACGAAUAGAGUGCCGAAACACUUAUAGAGUAAUUUUACCUAAUAAUACAUUGGUUUCAUUAAGAACUCAUGUAGUGAUCAAAGGCGAAUUUAGCAGUUUACGAAUGAAGUAAAAAUUGUUUCCCAAAUCAACCGUCAGAAUGUGGUGAAGAUUCUGAGGUGCUGUUUGGAAUCAGAAGUCCCUUUAAUGGUUUACGAAUUCUCCAAAAACAAGAUUAUUUUCAGGCAUAUACCUGAUAACAUCUGUAGUAUUUUGGUUUACAACCUUAUCCCCUUUUCUAUAAGUGUUUAUGAACACAACUUUGACCAACCUAUAGGUACUCUCGAGUUUAUGAACACAAUAGUUACAUUGUAAUUUUUUUUUCUUUUUUUCCCCUUUAUAAAGCCUAUGUACAUAGUUGUUUUAAGAUUUUAUUGUUUGGAGGUAAGCCCACAAGUAUACGUGCUUGUAAUAAAUUUUGACUACAUUGUUGGUGGCGUUUUCUAAAUGUUUAAAUUGUUCAUUGAUUCA